AUCCGUUUAUAGAUCAUAAGUGGGAUGAUUGGGUCUUCAUGCCCGUGUGUGAGAUGUGCUUCCCUCAAACCUUGUUAUGAUGGUGGCACAUUGCCCAUCUGAUG
ensembl:snoRNA